GCCAGGCACAGUGGCGUGUGCCUGUAGUCCCAGCUACUCGGGAGGCUGAGCUGAGAGGACUGCUUGAGUCCAGGAGUUCUGGGCUGUAGUGUGCUAUGCCGAUCGGGAGUCCUCACUAAGUUUGGCAUCAAUAUGGUGACCUUCCAGGAGCGGGGAACCACCAGGUUGCCUAAGGAGGGAUGAAUUGGCCCAGGUCAGAAACAUAGCAGGUCAAAACUCCCAUGCUGAUCAGUAGUGGGAUCUUGCCUGUGAAUCACCACUGCACUCCAGCCUGGGCAACAUAGCGACACCCCGACA
rnacentral:SRP_RNA from 1 species